GAUGAAGAACGUAGUGAAAUGCGAUAAGUAGUGUGAAUUGCAGAAUUCAGUGAAUCAUCGAAUCUUUGAACGCACAUUGCACCCCUUGGUAUUCCAUGGGGCAUGCCUGUUCGAGCGUCAUUUGUACCUUCAAGCUCUGCUUGGUGUUGGGUGUUUGUCUCGCCUCUGCGUGUAGACUCGCCUCAAAACAAUUGGCAGCCGGCGUAUUGAUUUCGGAGCGCAGUACAUCUCGCGCUUUGCACUCAUAACGACGACGUCCAAAAGUACAUUUUUACACUCUUGACCUCGGAUCAGGUAGGGAUACCCGCUGAACUUAAGCAUAUCAAUAAGCGGAGGA
rnacentral:misc_RNA from 1 species